rnacentral:rRNA from 1 species
GGCACCUUCGGUGUCCGAGUUGUAAUUUGAAGAAGGUAACUUUGGAGUUGGCUCUUGUCUAUGUUCCUUGGAACAGGACGUCACAGAGGGUGAGAAUCCCGUGCGAUGAGAUGUCCAACUCUAUGUAAAGUGCUUUCGAAGAGUCGAGUUGUUUGGGAAUGCAGCUCUAAGUGGGUGGUAAAUUCCAUCUAAAGCUAAAUAUUGGCGAGAGACCGAUAGCGAACAAGUACAGUGAUGGAAAGAUGAAAAGAACUUUGAAAAGAGAGUGAAAAAGUACGUGAAAUUGUUGAAAGGGAAGGGUGUGAGAUCAGACUUGGUAUUUUGUAUGUCUUGCUUUCGGGUGGGGCCUCUGC